UACGUAGGGUCCGAGCGUUGUCCGGAAUUCAUUGGGCGUAAAGGGCUCGUAGGCGGUUGGUCACGUCGGGAGUGAAAACUCAGGGCUCAACCCUGAGCGUAGCUUCCGAUACGGGCCGACUAGAGGUAUGCAGGGGAGAACGGAAUUCCUGGUGUAGCGGUGGAAUGCGCAGAUAUCAGGAGGAACACCGGUGGCGAAGGCGGUUCUCUGGGCAUUACCUGACGCUGAGGAGCGAAGCAUGGGGAGCGAACAGGAUAGACU
rnacentral:rRNA from 1 species